GAAAGGCCUAAGGUCCCCAGUGCGUCGUUAAAAAAGUUCUGUUAGAAACGUUUUUGAGUCAAACAAACAGAAUUGCGGGAUUCACAAUGAAUGACAAGAUGAAUAUCGACAAGCUGAACGGACCAGAGGACUAUUGUACAUAGAACGGAGAGUGAUAUAUAUGCUAAUUCCGGAUGCUAACUCACAAACUCGGGCAGAAAUCGAGAAACAGGGAUACGAGUAUUUUCCAUAUUAGUGCUGAAUAAUAACCGACAACACUGCAUUCUUAAAUGGACACCUGGA